UACGUAGGGGGUAAGCGUUAUCCGGAUUUACUGGGUGUAAAGGGGGCGCAGACGGCGAUGCAAGCCAGGAGUGAAAGCCCGGGGCCCAACCCCGGGACUGCUCUUGGAACUGCGUGGCUGGAGUGCAGGAGGGGCAGGCGGAAUUCCUGGUGUAGCGGUGAAAUGCGUAGAUAUCAGGAGGAACACCGGUGGCGAAGGCGGCCUGCUGGACUGCAACUGACGUUGAGGCCCGAAAGCGUGGGGAGCAAACAGG
rnacentral:rRNA from 1 species